rnacentral:rRNA from 1 species
UGGGGAAUAUUGGACAAUGGGCGAAAGCCUGAUCCAGCCAUGCCGCGUGUGUGAAGAAGGUCUUCGGAUUGUAAAGCACUUUAAGCGAGGAGGAGGCUACUAGUACUAAUACUACUGGAUAGUGGACGUUACUCGCAGAAUAAGCACCGGCUAACUCUGUGCCAGCAGCCGCGGUAAUACAGAGGGUGCGAGCGUUAAUCGGAUUUACUGGGCGUAAAGCGUGCGUAGGCGGCUAAUUGAGUCGGAUGUGAAAUCCCCGAGCUUAACUUGGGAAUUGCAUUCGAUACUGGUUAGCUAGAGUGUGGGAGAGGAUGGUAGAAUUCCAGGUGUAGCGGUGAAAUGCGUAGAGAUCUGGAGGAAUACCGAUGGCGAAGGCAGCCAUCUGGCCUAACACUGACGCUGAGGUACGAAAGCAUGGGGAGCAAACAGG